rnacentral:rRNA from 2 species
ACUCCUACGGGAGGCAGCAGUGGGGAAUAUUGCACAAUGGGCGCAAGCCUGAUGCAGCAACGCCGCGUGAGGGAUGACGGCCUUCGGGUUGUAAACCUCUUUUAGUAGGGAAGAAGCGAAAGUGACGGUACCUGCAGAAAAAGCACCGGCUAACUACGUGCCAGCAGCCGCGGUAAU